rnacentral:rRNA from 1 species
GACGAACGCUGGCGGCGCGCCUAACACAUGCAAGUCGAACGGAGUUUACAGGCGGAAGUUUUCGGAUGGAAGUUUGUAAACUUAGUGGCGGACGGGUGAGUAACACGUGAGCAACCUGCCUAUCAGAGGGGGAUAACGAUUGGAAACGAUCGCUAAUACCGCAUGACAUAGCGGAACCGCAUGGUUCUGUUAUCAAAGAUUUUAUCGCUGAUAGAUGGGCUCGCGUCCGAUUAGAUAGUUGGUGGGGUAACGGCCUACCAAGUCGACGAUCGGUAGCCGGACGUAGAGAUCGAACGGCCACAUUGGGACUGAGACACGGCCCAGACUCCUACGGGAGGCAGCAGUGGGGGAUAUUACACAAUGGGGGAAACCCUGAUGCAGCGACGCCGCGUGAGGGAAGACGGUCCUCUGGAUUGUAAACCUCUGUCUUCGGGGACGAAACGAGACGGUACCCGAGGAGGAAGCCACGGCUAACUACGUGCCAGCAGCCGCCGUAA